GGGGUAGGAGCUCAGUGUUAGAGCUCUCGCUUCGUAGGGGUGAAGACCUGGGUUCGGUUCCCGGCUGCUUCC
rnacentral:tRNA from 1 species